CUCUCUCUCUCUCUCUCUGUGAAAAGAAACCUCCACAAAUUUCACGUAUUGAUUGGUUUAAUUGAAGUGAUAUAAUCACAGAACAAAACAAACAAUCGAAACUCAUUUGGAAAUUAGAUCUGAAAUCUCAGCGAAAUCAUUCACAUUCGUAUUUUCAUGGCAUCCCCAAAUCAACAAACCCCACAGUUUGAUAUGCACAAAUUCUUCAUGCCCACAACCACAGGAAGCGUCCAAAACCCUUCUCCCUCUCUCAUGAUUCCUCCUACUACGUCAAUCCCUUCUUCCUAUCCUUCUCCUACUGGUACCCACCCUAACUUCCCCUUCCAAUUCCCACAGCAAUUCCUCCAUAUCCCUUCGUAUCCACCUCCCCAUAACAACCAAACCCAUACCCAUACCCAGCUCCACCCUCCUCCUGUCUCUAACAUGCCACCACAGCGUUCUAUGUCAUAUCCUACACCGCCUCUUCAACCUCAGCCCCAACAGCACCAAAAUCUUUCUCCUCGCAAAAAUAAUGAGCGACGUGGGGCUGAAAUAAUGGCCCUUCUCCGCCCACCUGCUUCUCCGCCACUUAAUCAAGACCCGUCACCAACACCGCCUCAGGAGCAUCAGCAUAGCCCGGAAUUCAGCAACAAUGUUCCACCUGUGGGACCCGUUAGGAUGCCGAGCAGCAAGAUGCCCAAGGGCAGGCGGAUUUCGGGUGAUCAUGUGGCAUAUGAUGUAGAUGUGAGGUCGCAAGGGGAGGUUCAGCCUCAGCUUGAGGUUACCCCAAUCACUAAAUACACUUCGGAUCCUCAGCUGUGCUUGGGAAGGCAAAUUGCUGUCAAUAAGUCUUACAUUUGUUACGGGUUGAAGCAGGGCAAUAUUAGGAUUCUUAACAUCAAUACUGCUUUGAGGUCCUUGUUUCGCACCCAGUCCCAGAGAGUCACCGAUAUGACUUUCUUUGCUGAGGAUGUUCAUCUCUUGGCUAGGUAGCUUUCUCUCUGUAUUCUGUAUAUUCCUAUCCUGGUUUGCUUCAGCUUGUAUGACAUGUUUUUAUGCAGUGCUGGCAUAGAUGGACGGAUUAAUGUCUGGAAAAUUUCUGAAGGUCCAGAUGAAGAAGAUAAGCCUCAAAUUACAGGAAAGACAGUUAUUGCUGUUCAAAUAGUAGGAGAGGGGGAAAAUAAAAAUCCACGAGUUUGUUGGCACUGCUAUAAACAAGAAAUUUUGGUUGUUGGGGUUGGUAAACGAGUUCUUAGAAUUGAUACUAACAAAGUUGGAAAGACUGGAGUCUAUUCGUCUGAGGUUCCUCUUCAGUGUCCUGUUGAGAAACUGAUUGAUGGCAUCCAGUUGGUUGGCAAACAUGAUGGAGAAGUUACUGAUUUAUCAAUGUGUCAGUGGAUGACCACCCGUUUGGUUUCUGCUUCUAUGGAUGGCAUGAUUAAGAUUUGGGAAGAUCUCAAGGCUGUGCCUCUUGUGGUGUUGAGACCACAUGAUGGUCAGUCUGUGUACUCAGCUACCUUCUUGACUGCCACAAACCGGCCAGAUCACAUCAUCCUUAUCACAGCGGGGCCCCAGAAUCGGGAAGUAAAAAUUUGGGUCUCAGCCAAAGAAGAAGGAUGGCUAUUACCUAGUGAUGCUGAUUCAUUAAAUUGCACCCAGACACUAGAGCUGAAGAGUUCAGCUGAACCUCGAGUCGAAGCGGCAUUCUUCAAUCAAGUUGUAGCUCUAUCCCAAGUGGGUCUUCUCUUAGUUGCAAAUGCAAAGAGGAAUGCCAUAUAUGCUUUGCACUUGGAUUAUGGUCCUAAUCCAGCAGCAACCCAUGUGGAUUACAUAUCAGAGUUUACUGUUACCAUGCCUAUCUUGAGUUUAACAGGGACUAGUGAUGUUUUACAUGGCCAAUGUGUGGCUCAGAUUUAUUGUGUUCAGACGCAGGCUAUUCAGCAGUACAGUUUGGACUUAUGCCAGUGCUUACCCCCACUUUUAUCGGAUGUGGGUUCAGAGAAGUCAGAUUCCAAUGUUUCACAUGAUCUGGCUAAUGUUGAAGGAGUUGAUCCUUUGGAUUCACGUGGAAGUGACUUUUCUGACAUCCCUGCAUGUUCUGCUUCAGUGGAUGCAGCCACUUUGCAUGAUAUUUCCUCUUCCAAUAUUGACUCUAAGCCUCUUGUUUUACCCCCUUCAAUUAGUGAUGGUGAGAUUGCUUGUGUCGCAUCAUCUCCUCUUUCCUUGACACAUAAGGAUUUCGCUGGGGUUACAGUUGCAGCAAGACUUGAGCCAGGCCCUCCACUUGGUGACCAAAUUGUAAAUCAGCCAGUCAUUGAUUAUUUAGUUGACCAACAAAUGGACAGUAUUAAUGCAAACUUAUCAGAUGUUCCUUCCUUAGAUAGUGACUCAAGGACUGAUGAGAUGAAAGGCACACAAGAUGAAAAUUCUAGCAUCCUUAAUCCCCCUAUCAUGUUUAAACACCCAACACAUCUGAUAACUCCUUCCGAGAUUCUAAUGGGUGCUUCAUCUCCUAGUAAUAAUAAUGAUGAGGUCAAGACUGAGGUUGAAACAAAUAUUCAAGAAGUUGUUGUCAUUAAUAAUGUCAGUAAUGCAGAGGUGGAGGUUAAAGUAGUUGGUGAAACAAAAUCUACUCAGAAUGAUGAAUUUGGCCUCCGAGGAGAACCUAAACACCUUAUUUCUGAAAACAGGGAGAAAUAUUUUUGCUCCCAGGCUUCAGAUCUUGGUAUUGAGAUGGCCAGGGAGUGUUGUUCCAUAUCAGCAGAAACUUAUACAAUGGAGGAACCUCAGCAAGUUGACGGUGUUGAUAUGGCUGAGUUUCUUGCUCAACCUUCUCACACAAGUAAGGAAGAAGUCCAUGAUGACUCCACAAAAGAUACAUUAGGGAAAGCGUCUGAGUUGAGCAUGCCCACAAUAGUUCAACGAUCAACAACUCCAAAUACGAAGGGGAAGAAGCAGAAGGGAAAAAAUUCUCAACCAUCAGGCCCAUCUCUUUCUUCAAGUGCUUUUAAUUCAACAGAUUCUUCCAAUGAACCAACUGGCACUUCAAGUCUCCUGUCUUUGGAAGCUGCCUUUCCUCAAAUUUUCGCUAUGCUGGAGAUUCUUAAUCAGCUAGUGACUACACAAAAAGAAAUGCAGAAGCAGAUGUCAAAUAUGGUAGCUGUCCCUGUUUCAAAAGAAUGCAGAAGACUGGAAGCAGCUUUAGGGCGGAGCAUUGAGAAAGCUGUCAAGGCAAAUACUGAUGCACUGUGGGCUCGAUUUCAAGAAGAGAAUGCAAAAAGUGAGAAGUUAUUGAGAGAUCGCAUGCAGCAAAUAACAAGUUUGAUCUCUAACUUUGUCAACAAGGACUUGGCAGUCAUGUUAGAGAAGGCAGUGAAGAAAGAAUUGUCUUCAGCUGGGCCUGCUGUAGCUCGUUCAAUGUCUCCAGUAAUUGAGAAAACAAUAUCUUCAGCUAUUGCAGAGUCAUUCCAGAGAGGAGUCGGUGAUAAGGCAGUGAAUCAACUGGAGAAAUCAGUUAAUUCAAAACUAGAAGCAACUGUUGCUAGGCAAAUUCAAGCACAAUUCCAAAUUUCUGGAAAACAAGCUCUCCAGGAUGCCUUGAAGGCUGGUUUGGAAGCUUCAGUAGUCCCUGCCUUUGAGAUGUCAUGCAAAGCUAUGUUUGAGCAAGUGGAUUCCACCUUCCGUAAAGGGAUGGUUGAACAUACAACUGCAGCUCAACAGCAUUUUGAAUCUGCACAUUCUUCGUUGGCUCUUGCUUUAAGAGUGUGUAUUUUUUUCCCCAUUACAAAAAUUAUUAGAAAGAAAAAGGAGGGGGGGUAACCAACUUAUUGUUCUCAAAACCAAGGCUGUGAGCAGGAGAUGUCCGUUUUAUUUUUUUUUUAUUUGAAUUCACCUUGCUGAAAUAUUAAUUGCAUCACAAAAGUAUUCUGUAGUUCUGAGCAUCUGUCCUUCAGAUGAAAUGUCAUUGUGCAAUGAUGAACUUGGUAAAAGAUCAGUCUAUGUUAACUGAGUUAUGCUUUUUGGUUAUUUAACUUCUUAUAUGUGUGGAUCUUUUGGAUGAUGAGUUUUCUCAGUCCUCAUUGUAAGUGUCACAAUGAUAAUUUGAAGUUUGUUGGGUUGGCUGCUGUAGGCAUUUCUAGUGAUGCAAAUUAGAACAGUUGGAUGGGUCUUUCCUUCUUUCUCUGCCAUUUUUGCUGGUAUGUGCUUUCUCCUUGAGCAAAUUAUCCAGGCUUCUGUUUUGUUAAAUGCAGGAAGCCAUCAACUCUGCUUCAUCAUUGACUCAAACACUGAGUGGGGAAUUGGCUGAAAGUCAAAGGCAGCUGGUAGCUCUUGUGGCUGCUGGCACAAACUCAAGUGCUGCAAAUCCCCUGGUUACACAACUGAGCAAUGGACCUUUAUCUGGCCUCCUUGAAGAGGUUGAGACGCAUUUGGAUCCAACAAAAGACCUAUCAAGAUUGAUAUCUGAACACAAGUAUGAUGAGGCUUUCACCAUUGCCCUGCAAAGAAGUGAUGUUUCGAUUGUUUCUUGGUUAUGUUCUCAGGUUGAUUUGCGUGGGAUCUUAGCAAUGGUUCCUCUCCCCUUAAGCCAAGGAGUAUUGCUCUCUCUUCUACAGCAGUUGGCCUGUGAUGUUAGCAAGGAUACAGCCCGAAAGCUCACAUGGAUGACGGAUGUGGCAGCAGCCAUAAACCCCGCAGACCAAAUGAUUGCAAUGCACGUGCGGCCCAUCUUUGAGCAAGUAACUCAGAUUCUACACCAUCAGCGGAGCUCACCUACAACCACUGGUGCUGAGCUCUCAACCAUACGUGUUCUCAUGCAUGUCAUUAACUCCAUGCUGGUGACCUAUAAAUGAUUCUCUCAGUAACUAUUUUUGCACAUUAUAAUUGAGUUUUGAGGUAGUUGGAACUUUGUACAAAUCUUUGGUGGUUCAUAUGAAGGGUAUGAGGUCUUUUCUCUGGUUUUUAGGGUAUUUUUUGUAGGUUGCUUAGAGUUGGUUUCUAGAGGCAACUUCCUUCUUUUUUUUUUUUCGGGUAGAAAAUAGCUACACUACUUUCUUACCUGUCUAAUAUAAUUAGGAUGGGGCUGCUUCAGAUUUUUCCUGCUCUUCAGACAGACCUGAUUCGAAGUCCAAAGCGCAA
rnacentral:misc_RNA from 1 species